UGGGGGAUAUUGCACAAUGGGCGAAAGCCUGAUGCAGCGACGCCGCGUGGGGGAUGAAGGCCUUCGGGUUGUAAACUUCUUUUGCUCUGAACAAGGCGCACCAUGGGGUGUGUUGAGUGUAGGGGUUGAUUAGCGCCGGCUAACUACGUGCCAGCAGCCGCGGUAAUACGUAGGGCGCGAGCGUUGUCCGGAAUUAUUGGGCGUAAAGGGCUUGUAGGUGGCUGGUUGCGUCUGUCGUGAAAGCUCAUGGCUUAACUGUGGGUUUGCGGUGGGUACGGGCUGUCUUGAGUGCAGGAGGGGAGGCUGCAAUUCCUGGUGUAGCGGUGGAAUGCGCAGAUAUCAGGAGGAAUACCGGUGGCGAAGGCGGGUCUCUGGGCUGUUACUGACACUGAGGAGCGAAAGCAUGGGGAGCGAACAGG
rnacentral:rRNA from 1 species